rnacentral:rRNA from 1 species
UACGUAGGGCGCAAGCGUUGUCCGGAAUUAUUGGGCGUAAGAGCUCGUAGGCGGCCUGUUGCGUCCGCUGUGAAAUCCCGGGGCUUAACCCCGGGUCUGCAGUGGAUACGGGCAGGCUAGAGGCAGGCAGGGGAGAACGGGAAUUCCCGGUGUAGCGGUGAAAUGACGCAGAGUAUCGGGAGGAACACCGGUGGCGAAGGCGGUUCUCUGGGCCGAUACUGACGCUGAGGAGCGAAAGCGUGGGGAGCGAACAGG